rnacentral:rRNA from 1 species
AAUAUGGGACCAUGGGGGCAACCCUGAUCCAGCGAUGCCGCGUGUGUGAAGAAGGNCUNNGGAUUNUNAAGCCCUUUAAGUUGNNNNNAAGGGCUUUAGAUUAAUACUCUGAAAGUUGGACGUUACAAACAGAAUAAGCACCGGCUAACUCUGUGCCAGCAGCCGCGGUAAUACAGAGGGUGCAAGCGUUAAUCGGAAUUACUGGGCGUAAAGCGCGUGUAGGUGGUUCAGUAAGAUGGGUGUGAAAUCCCCGGGCUUAACCUGGGAACUGCUUUCAUAACUGCUGAGCUUGAGUACGGUAGAGGUUAGUGGAAUUUCCUGUGUAGCGGUGAAAUGCGUAGAUAUAAGAAGGAACACCAGUGGCGAAGGCGACUACCUGGACUGAUACUGACACUGAGGUGCGAAAGCGUGGGGAGCAAAC